CAAAGCACAUAUGUAAUUAAGGACUGGUAUCCAAAAUAUACAAAAACUCUUAAAACUCAACAAUAAGGAAACAAACAACUCAACUGAAAAACAGGCACAAGAUCUGGACAGCUCACCAAAGAAGAUAUCCAGAUGGCAGAUAAGCACGUGAAAAGAUGCUCAACAUCAUAGUCAUCCCCUGAUGACUACAAAUUGUUAAUAAAAAGGGAAAGCGUGCGUGUGUACGUAUGUGGGGGAAAGGGGAUGACGAGGGAGGUGUAAGACAACUCUCUGUACUGUCCGCUCAGUUUUUUCCUAAACCUAAAACGGCUCUUAAGAAAAGGGUUUAUUAAUUUUUUUAAAAGACAAGCUUCUUCCUCCGUAAUAUAUAUAUAUGUAAGUCUUGUGAAAGGACUUCAAUCUGAAAUGGAACCAGAGGCUAUGAAAUGAAGAGCUUCUCACAUGCGCCCUCAGAAGACCCAACAAGAACAGAGAGACAGACUUCCCGUAACUCCCUGACUUACAGAAGGCGGGGCCUUAUCUCCUGGCCAAUGAACAUCCGCCAAGAAUGUCUCCCCGUCCUCAAGCCAACGAAGUCAUCGCUGGGAGUCUGGGUGGACUUCUCCCUCUUUGCACUUCUUGCCCAGAAAUACGACCUGCCUCAAACCCUUCAACAGACUCACCUGUAGCUUGCGAGGGCAUGCAUUUCCCAGACUGCAAUUUGCUGCCAUUCCUGAAUGAACUUAAUUUCUGGGAAUUUGUGCUUGCCUCAGUUUACCUCUUUCUUGAGGUUGACAGUAUUAAUUUUUAAAAUAUGCAUAUAGGUAAUACACAGUGUUGGCAAAGGAGCUAGGAAAGGGACUCCUCACCAUAGACUAGUGGUGAGGGUGUACACUGGAGACAUUUUUAUUAUUAUUAUGAAACAUCUUACUAAGAAACUAAACCCUGUGGUUUCAUGGUGCCUAAUUUUCAUGCAGCAUCUGCAUCACUUGGGAGCUUGCCAGAAAUGCAGAAGCUCAGGUCGCACCCCAUCCUACUAAUUUGGAAUCUGCAUUUUAACAAGAUCCAUCAAGUGAUCCACGUGCACGUUAGAGUUUCAAUAGCCCUGCCAUGAAGUGAGUCCAAAUGAAAAGGAUGAGAUUCAAGAGGAAAGGAAGACUCAGCAGAAAUAGUCAAUACGUUAACCAGAGAAAGAAGAGGAAUGAACUACAGUUGUGCCUCGGUGUCUGUGGGGGAUCGGAUCAGGACCCCAUGCGGGUACCAAAAUCCACGGAAGCUCGAGGCCCUCAGUCACCCACCACUGAUCCUCGGGGUGCCCAUGGCCAAGUGUAUAUAACUUCCUCAUUGAUGGGAGUAAGGUGGGGCCUGAAUGAGAAAAUGACAACAGCAGCCAAGUAGGUUUCUUGUCACCGGUUAUUAGGAGACCAUGAAACAUCAAGGCUUGUGCCAUGCUAUUCCCACAUGACUCAUACCCUGGGAGCAAUAGAUCAGAGCCCGGGAUGUCCUUUUUCUCUAGUUGCAUCCUGAGAAUUUGCGUGCUUGCUACUUUGUGUUAGACAAAUCUCUCUUACCUCUCCUGAAAUGAGGGUGGAAGGGGAUCUUGAAUUUCUGCCUGGGCCUUUGACACAGUUCAACUGCUAAAGAGAAACACUGAGAGCUGAGACAUCAGUGGAAAUAUUUAAUUAUUACAGUUACUGCCCAAGAUGGCACCUUGAGUUGUGGUAAAAAAAAAAAGGGGGUGGGGUGGGGAGCAGGUUCAAGGCUUUGCUGAAAAAUCUGCCUGAAGGAUGUCAAUUCUUAGAGUUUAGUAUCUUUCAUUCACUGAUUUAUAAAAAGAAUCUAAGUUACUUUUGAAGCAUGGCAGGAAAAGUAAGUUUUCCCUAAACAUUCUGGGAGAUUCACUGGCAAUAUAAGAUUGUGAGGGACCCUGAAAUUCUGUUAGACUAUUGUUUAAACUGUGAGGCUCCCCCUCUUCAAGGAAUGAUAGCUGUGUGUGGAAAUAGGCUGGGAUAAUUGGUAGUUUCCUUGUGCUCAUUUUGUAUUUGGUGAUCAGGAAAAAUUUUAAACGCGGUGUACUUUGAAAAGGCGCUUCAGAAAUCCAAAGGGAUAUCCACUUUGCCCAUUACAUGGGACAGAAUGAUUAAAAUUCCUACAUCACCAGUGGUCACAAUGGUGAGAUCUUGCCACCAGAGAUGGACAAAAUUGAAAAGAUGCCAGUAAUAAACUCAGGUAAUAAACAGAGAAAAUGAUACUGGCUGUGAAAACAGGCACAGGCUCCCAGUAAGCACUGUCAGACACUACUGAGUUUCCUGGCUAGGGCUUUAAACAGUAACUUCUUCAUGGGUUUCUCACCUAAUAUGCCUUAUCUAAAUUUAAAGAGAGAUGUGACCAUUCACAAGGCAAAUUCACAGAUAAAAUCUUUACAAAACAACUUUGAAAGAGAGGACCUGGAAGAAUAGAAAGCUGUGAUGUUUUGAGAGGAAGAUUAUUUGGGGAGAAGAUUUGGAGUUUCCAGCUUGGGAUGGGAAGAUGAGGGGAUGAGGGCACUGUCUCCUGACUGUUUUUCCUGGGCUUUCAAGAAGGAAACCACAGCGGGCAGGGAGCAUUCGGCUGGCCUCACCCCACACCAGGUUCUCUGGCUUCUCUUCUCCUCAGCAUGUGGAAGGGCAAAUUGGUUUAGUCCUUUUCCAUAACUCACCUCAAACUAACCCAGUAAUACUAGAGAAGGAAGAGCAAGGCUGCGAAGGGCCAAUUAACAGACACACAUUGAGAAGACGCCUACUGACUCACUAGGAAAUCCAAUUCUCACUGUGAUAUCCAACCAGACUUCUGGAAAACCUACCUUAUAUUGGUUACUAGGGUCAUGGGAUAAAGGCUGAGGGACAGUCACAUGGACUGGGCUGAACUGGGGAAGAGAGGGUCUCAUAGUGAAGACUCAUCUGUAUUUGACAGUCCCAGUGAUAGCUGGACUGUUUUGGUGUUUGAUGACAUUAUGGAGAUUACUAUGAGCCCAAUUAUGAGAUGGUGGAAAACAAGUGCAGUCACAGAGAAUCGUAAUAGAAGGAAUCAGGAAUGACCCAAAAGAGGCCAUUUGAACCAGCCCGAGGCAGGCUGCCCCAGUGUUUCCUUUUCACUAAAAUGCAAAACAACUGGCAUUCCUGUUUUCCCAAAGAUGUACAUCCUGCUCUUCCAGAUGCUGAGAGGCAGACUGUUGCAGGGCAUGGAUGGUGUUGGUGGUGAACCGUCAGAGGAGUGGCAGAUAAGAAGGCAUGUUCGUGAGCCAGUGUUUCCUUCUGUUCAUGUAAGAGUUGCUUGGUCAAACUCUCUGGUCAUUGCUCACUGGUGAUUUAAUGAAACUACAAAAGGAACGAUGUAGCACCUGUAGGACUGGAUCUCUCACGGUCCCCAGUGACAGCUGCUACCAGGGCAAAACUCUUGGCAAGCACUCAACUGGGUAACGUCCAUAGUUCAAAGUUCUGGGAAGUGAGCAAGAGAGGGCUCACCAGGUUAAGGAUGAAGCUGUUUUUGUGCCCAGAGAGUAAAUGGCUGUUUCAAAAGCUAUGCCUUCUGUUUCACCUAAUGUCUUUGAAUGUAGGGAGACUCUCCAUACAGACUAAGGGUGAGGCCCCGUAAAGGACACGUGACCCUGAUGUCCUUUCUCUCUAGACCCGUUACAACAUCAGAUUCCUCUGGAGAAACCAUAUGCCUGAGUCCAGAUGCGCUGGACAAGAGAAAUAGUCAAGAAUUUCAGGGGAUUUUAGAUACAGAUUCAAAGAUAAUGCAAAUUCCUGGAAACUCCAGUCAAAUGGGAAAGGCUAAGUGUCUGAGGAUAUGGAGGAGGAAGGAUUGGAGGUGGACAGGUUUUACUAGGCCUACAAGUUGGACACUGAGGACACAAUUAUCCUCUAGGGUGAUCUCAUCACUCCCUGAGUUGUUCUCUUUUUUUAAAACUUUUCAUUUUGAAAAAAUUUAGACUUACAGAAAUGUUGCAACAAUAGUACAGGGUUCCCUUUACCCUUCAUCUGGUUACCCCUAAUGGUAACACCUUAGAAAACCAUAGCACAAAUAUCAAAAUCAUGAAAUUAACAUUGAUAUAAUACUACUAACCAUGACAGUGUUGUUGAAAUUAAGUAAUUGUUACUUGGAGAAAGGACUUACUCAAAAGGGUGGUAUAUUGGCUGCUAAAAAUGGAAACAUGUAGAGCUCUCUUGCCUCACCAAAACUGUAAAGAUGAAAUAGUACCAGGCCCAGGACCACGAGUGAGACCACAGGUGAGAUGGGAGUAACUGGGAGUCUGUCCCCACUUCCAGCCUUUCCCUCUUAGCUCUCAGUUGGCUUAUCUGAAAAGCAGAUGGAGCCCGGAUGAUAACUGAAUAUUACAGAAAACCAGAUGAACUUGUGCUAACUGUGGCUGCCAUUGUUCCUCUGUAGGAAGAUCUUUAUAAAUCACCCCGACUGGUAUCCUUUUAUCGAUCUUACUAGGGCAUUGUUUUUUUUCCCCAGUCAAAAGUAUUUGAGAAUCUAGUCAUUGGGUUUCCCAUCAGAUUAACAUCAAUGCUUGUGAAAUCUAAAAUACGGAUGGCAGUGCUUGGUGUCAUUUACCCUCCUGAAGGGAUGGUGGUUAUGCUCCAGUAGAGUGAAACUUGGGCACUUGCUGAAUUAUAGGCCAUUCCUGAGUGAUAUUUCUUACCCAGCUGCACUUUUUCCUCUGGCUCCAGCUAGAAAAGACAAACAGAAUGACAUCACCACCUGCUGGACUGUGAGGCAAGUUGACCUUUGAGAAGGCAUGAAAAUCUGAUUUUGUCUUUUCCUCUCUCUGAUCCACAAGUAUAGGUCAGCUUUAACUCAGAUGGCCAACACUUAUUGCCACACCUCUACUGUAUUGUCACUGUCAAUCAGAUCCAGGUCCUGCUACCUGGAAUUAUCUUUGCUGCCUAAUGUCCUACCAAUGUUUGCUCCAGUUGCACAACCUAAUUCUUGCCUACCUGGUGAGCUACAAAUGAAGAAUAGAUUUAGACUACAUAGCAUUGUUCCCACUGGUGAUCCUUUGCAUCUUGAGUGUGGUACCUAAUUACGGCUUCUGGGAUCUCUGUACCAUAGGAUCUUGAACUUCUUAAGCAGGUGAUAACAUCCCUGGGUAAACUGAAUGGCAUUUUCUAGGUCUUAGAAGAAUGACUUAUGCUCAAAUUGUCAAGAACAACAUGUAAGUAGGAACUUGGAUCAACCAGCAAGAAUUACUUGGAUGCCUAGGAACCUGAAUAUUGGCUUAUGGUAGAACAUGCAGUGACUAUGCGAUAUUUACUUUAACCAAUGUCAAAGCUCACAUAGUUCCAGGCUUUGGCCAUACCUGAGACCAAAGAAAAGCUGCCAAUCAGCAUCCUAUUAUGAAGAAAAUGCAGAAAGUUGAUGCCUUUAUGCAGAUUAUUUAUAGUUCAUCCAGAGUGGCCCAAAGCCUUUUCAUGUCUUUAUGACUAUGGAGUGAGGCAGAUGUACAGAAGCUGACUGGCAUUUCUGUGAGGGGUGAAGAUCUUAGAAGGGACGACAUAAUAUAGGAGACAUUCCUUGUGAUGAACCCCAGCAUCGCUUCUCAUCUCUGUAUGUGAUUAAACUCUAAAGGUGUUUGAAAUUACAAUCAUGGUGGGAAAGAUACUGUAUCAUUUAUAUGCAUAUCUAUCUAUCUAUAUGUCAUAUAUGCAAGAUAGGAGAGAACACCAUCAUAAGACAAAACAAUCGCUCUGUAAGAAGACUACCACCCAUUCAGGUAUCUAUGAGAUUAAAAGGGGAAGAUGUGGAGAAACUGCAGUGGCUAGUGGAUGCUUCUGUGCACAAUAAGAAUCUCAAGGAGACCAAGAAAAUACCGAAAGCCUACCAAUCAGUAGUGACUCAGCAAUUUAGAAGAUUGAAAUGGACAGGUGUAGAGAAUUAAAAUUACUGGUUCAUACUCACAUGAUGGGUAAGGUUUUCCGAAAUAACCAGUACAGAAAGGAGGUAUUCCUCAUUGAAGACCAUUAUCUGUUGUUCCUUUUGAAAUGAAAAUGGUUUGAUAUUUGUACACUGUUGGUACUGUGGUAUGUAAGCAUCUUGGCUAAGACCAAUUUAAGAGGUGAAAUACACCCAAGGAGUCAUCUUAGGCUGUCACAUGUUGGGUGAGGAUGGUCAGAGGAAAUCAGUCUAGCCAGGAGAUCUUCUCAGAGGCAGACUUUAGAAGCUGGGUAAGAAAAUCAGAAAAACAAAGUGGAGAGAGGUUGCUCCUCUUCAAGUCAGUAUCAUUGAUUUCUCUCAUUUAAAGGAUGAAAUAGAAACACAUAGCAGAAAUAUAAUGUAGAGAGGUCAUCAGAUAUCAGACAAAAACUAUAGAAGUACAUCUGCCACCCACCCCUUAGAACAGCCCUUCACCUACCGCUCCCUUUAUGUGACUCAGUAGGGAGAUCUAAUGCAGUUCCAAAUGCUGGUGGGCAACUAAGACGGGCAAGGAACACAGAGGGUCCUAACCUAAGACAGGCAACUUUCCUGGAGUUUUCUUUCUUUCUUUUAAAAUUUGUAUUGCUUUUUAAGAAAAAUUAAGUGUUGAGUAAAUUAGAAUAAUAAUUGUAAAAUAUGUGAGGCUUCAAAGAAAAACAGUAUGACCAAUAUCAAGUAUUAGUAAUAGGACCUUACCUUUACUUCGGAAGCCCCCAUGUGCUCCACCCUGAUCCCAAAAGUAAUCACCACCUUCAAUUUUGUGUUUAUUAACCCUUAGUUUUCUUUAUAGUUUUAUCAUGUUUAUCUCUUUAAACAAUAUUUUUUAGUUUUGCCAAUUUUUGAAUCUUACAUAAGUCAAAACAUUGAUUGUUUUUACUUGAUCAAAGUUAAGUUUGUAUUUAGCUGAAUGCAAAUCUUACGUGUGCAUACUACUUAGAAAAGAAACAUCUUUAUGUGGUAUCAUAUACAUAUCACACAAUUUACUUAUUUAAAAUGUACAAUUAGUGGUUUUUAGUAUAUUCACAAGGUUCUACAAUCAUCACCACUCCCUAAUUCCAGAACAUUUCCAUCACCCCCAAAAGAAACUGUACCCAUUAGCAGUCAUUCUCCAUUUCCCCGCAACUGUCUUCACUCCUAGCUCUAGAUAACCACAAAUCUACUUUCUGCCUCCAUAGAUUUGUUUAUUCUGGAUAUUUCUUACAAAUAGAAUCAAACAAUAUGUGGUCUUUUGUGACUGGCUUCUCUCACUUAACAUAAUGUUUUCAAGGUUAUUCAUGUUGUAGUAUAUAUUAGUACUUUGUUCCUUCUUUAUUGCUAAAAAAUAUUCCAUUGUCUGGAUAUACCAAAUUUUAAUUAUCCAUUUCUGGAUGGAUGGACAUUUGGAUUGGAUCCACUUCUUGACUAUUGAGAAUAUUGCUGCUGUGAAUAU